rnacentral:rRNA from 1 species
UCCAGGCAAAUCCGGAUAAUCAAGGCUGAGGUGUGAUGACGAGGCACUACGGUGCUGAAGUAACAAAUGCCCUGCUUCCAGGAAAAGCCUCUAAGCAUCAGGUAACAUCAAAUCGUACCCCAAACCGACACAGGUGGUCAGGUAGAGAAUACCAAGGCGCUUGAGAGAACUCGGGUGAAGGAACUAGGCAAAAUGGUGCCGUAACUUCGGGAGAAGGCACGCUGGUGUGUAGGUGAAGUCCCUGCGGAUGGAGCUGAGACCAGUCGAAGAUACCAGCUGGCUGCAACUGUUUAUUAAAAACACAGCACUGUGCAAACACGAAAGUGGACGUAUACGGUGUGACGCCUGCCCGGUGCCGGAAGGUUAAUUG